GCUGGUCUCUGCUCUAUAUCCGUGGUAGCUCUGGAAAUGGCUGCGGGAUCCCGGCGGCCGGGGUAAGUGACUCUGUACUGUGAAGGAGGGCGGAAGCCGUGUGGACCCGAACGGCACUUGGACUCCGGACAAGGUGGAGCGGCGCCAUGCCGGCAGCCUAGUUCCAGCGAGCGGCGCCGAUGGCGCCGAGAAAAUGGCGUCGCGGCCCGCGGGGCCCUUUCCGGCCCCGGGCUGAGGGAUCGCGGUGGAGCGCGCGAGGCCGGCCGGCCGGGCGGGCGGUCUGCGUCUGGUUUCUGCCGAAAUCACCGGUUGUCUUGUGUAGUCCAAGAUGGUCUGGGUCUGGGAGGCUGUGGAGCCCUUGAUUCUGAGUCGGAGUUAGGGGCCCAGCCUCCCGAGGCCGCAGGUUCUCGACACUUGCGGUAGGGCAUUCGUGGUAGGACGUGACUGGGCCUGGGCGCGAAUUUGCGGGUGUACGAGCAGAUAUCUCAUGGGGGACUUCGGGGAAGAUCCAGCCUCAGCCCUGUGUAGGGCCUGGGCGUUGUCUGGGCGCUCAUUGCCUCUUGCCAGUGUUGGUGGCCAGGUGUGUGUUAAUGUAGAUUGAUCUCAACAGUGACUCUUGAGUAAGAGGCCCUGGGUUUGAUUGGGAAUGUUGUGUAUAUUUGAUUUUCCACAAAAGGAUGCUCCUUGUUACACUUGUCAGGCAAACUCAGUUGUGUAAGGAUGACAAACAGCACACAAAAAAGAUUGUGUAAUUGAUGACCCCUGCCAGCACUCAUGACCAGCACUUUCCUCCUGCCAAUCAGUGCAUGUGUAGCAUCAUAAUAGCUUGUUGAGAACGUGUGCUAGGGGACCUGAGGAGAGCUCAGGUAGGUCUUGAAGGCGAGGUGGGAUGUCUUCCUGCCUUCUGUCGUUCGCAGAAGUUUUCUACUGUCAGAAAAGCUCUCUGUACCUCUUCUGGUAGGUAUUGUCUUAAUAGGCUAAAGAGUCUUAAUUCAGUCAGUGCUGAGCACCUCAAGUAAUGAUUUCUCUUCAGCAUAUGAGUACUGUCUGUGCCAGGCUGUACACUUCUGUCAGCACAGCAUGUUUUACCAUGUUACACAUCUGCCCUUCGAUACUAGGUGACUUCGGUUUAACCCAGAAGAGCAAAGAUUCAUGUUGCACUUAGAUCCUUACAUAGUGAUCCGUGUUGUAGAAUCUGUUUCUUAUGCUCAAGCCCCAACUAAGAAAUUGUUGCUGAGUGGAGUCUCCUUUAAGUCUUAGAUGACUGGGUCCUUUAUAGAAACCCAGUAGUCUCUGAGGUUUUGUGUUGAUUCGGUUACAAAGGUUGUGUGAUUUGCAGCCAGUGAUAGUGAGCUCUUUGGAAAGAGGAGGUCAAAGCCCAAAGUCUGAGUUGUGCUCAUUUGUUCUGAGUGUGCAGGCUCGCCUGUGAGACAGAACAUGUUGACAAGGCUUUAGUUUAUUUUCUUAGUGGUCAUUUUGAGACCUUUAUAAGGGAAUGUGAGUGGGCAAUUUACAUAGUUUUAAAGACUAAUUCUGGC
rnacentral:lncRNA from 1 species